GAUGAACGCUGGCGGCGUGCUUAACACAUGCAAGUCGAACGAAGCACUUUAUUUGAUUUCCUUCGGGACUGAUAUUUUGUGACUGAGUGGCGGACGGGUGAGUAACGCGUGGGUAACCUGCCUUGUACAGGGGGAUAACAGUUGGAAACGGCUGCUAAUACCGCAUAAGCGCACGGCAUCGCAUGAUGCAGGGUGAAAAACUCCGGUGGUAUAAGAUGGACCCGCGUUGGAUUAGCUAGUUGGUGAGGUAACGGCCCACCAAGGCGACGAUCCAUAGCCGACCUGAGAGGGUGACCGGCCACAUUGGGACUGAGACACGGCCCAAACUCCUACGGGAGGCAGCAGUGGGGAAUAUUGCACAAUGGGCGAAAGCCUGAUGCAGCGACGCCGCGUGAGCGAAGAAGUAUUUCGGUAUGUAAAGCUCUAUCAGCAGGGAAGAUAAUGACGGUACCUGACUAAGAAGCACCGGCUAAAUACGUG
rnacentral:rRNA from 1 species